UAAAUAUUCGGUGUUCAACUAAACAAUAUUAAAAAAAAAUUAGUUAUGAUAAAUUUUUUAAUAUUUCGUUGUGAAUCCCUUGUUGUCUAUAACAAUUUGCAGGCUCUUUGGAAUUGAUUUAUUAACUUUCGAGUUUUCUCUAAUUAGUGUUUCCCUCUUAAGCUGAAGUAUGGUGUUAAAUUUCUUCUGUUAAACUCAUCUGGCCACUUCUUCCCAGGGAUAUGUAGUCAUUUAGGUAAAGAUCUGGGCUCUUGGCUGGUGUUUGUUUUGCCAUAGUUAAAGACAAGCUGCCCUGCAAAUUACAAAAUCAUCGCUACGCUAGCAGAGCCAACUGCUUCGGCUGCACAGCCGAUGCUUUCUCGCGCGCGAUCUCCUAAAAAUGUAAUUUGAUUAAAUGUUGAUGUUAAUGUGCUUUAUAUAGUGAAUAAUUGAUGAAAUUUCAAGUGCGAGGCCGACGAUUUCAUUAAAUUUGAGCAAUUAGACCAAUUACGAGAAAAGGAAAAUAACAAUAAGAGAACGAAAUAAAUAAAGGAAUUCUUUCUCUAAAGGGCACGCGCCCUUCUUCGCAAAGUUACUUGCGAUUAGAUUUUUAUAAGCAGAAUAGCAAAAUACAACAACAAAUACAACUCACAAAAGUGAUUAUUUAAGGUUAUUUAAUCAUGUCCCUUUUUCCAACGCAAACGAAAGAAAGUUGGGCCUAACUCCGUAUGACAAGGAAACGCACAAUACUCUGAAAUUUUACAUAUAUAAAAUUUGUGUAUUUAAAAUCCCUUAAAUUCUAUGUAUAAGUUAAAUAAUGAGUCAAAUUUAAAAAAAAAAUACAUUUUUAGGAAUACAAAUUUUAUGAAAUAAGUUUAAUUUUGCUUUAAUGAAAGGUUGAUGCAAAAAAUCUCUAAAGAUUUGAUGUAUUUGUGUUGAA
rnacentral:sRNA from 1 species